GAGUUUGAUCCUGGCUCAGAACGAACGCUGGCGGCGCGUUUUAAGCAUGCAAGUCGAACGAUACGGGUACUUCGGUACUCGGAGAGUGGCGAACGGGUGAGUAACACGUAGAUAAUCUACCUUAGGGUUGGGGAUAGCUCAUGGAAACAUGGGGUAAUACCGAAUACGAUCUUUCCACCGGCAAGGCGGGGAGAGGAAAGGUGCUACGGCACCGCCCUGAGAUGAGUCUGCGGCUCAUUAGCUAGUUGGUGGGGUAACGGCCUACCAAGGCAGUGAUGAGUAGCCGGCCUGAGAGGGUGACCGGCCACAUUGGGACUGAGACACGGCCCAGACUCCUACGGGAGGCAGCAGCUAAGAAUCUUCCGCAAUGGGCGAAAGCCUGACGGAGCGACGCCGCGUGAACGAAUAAGGCCGAGAGGUUGUAAAGUUCUUUUCUCAGGGAGGAAUAACCGUUGUAGGGAAUGACAGCGGGAUGACGUGAACUGAGGAAUAAGCCCCGGCUAAUUACGUGCCAGCAGCCGCGGUAAUACG
rnacentral:rRNA from 1 species